GUAGUUGUGCAUCUUCUGAUCACGCUCCAGUGAGGGAAUUAAGGAAGGCACGUUGUCCUUGUAACGGGGAUCCAGCAGGGUGGCCACCCAGUAAUCAGCACAAGUUAGAAUGUGGGCAACUUGUCAGUUGUUGCGCAGGCACUUUGGUGACUCUAGAUAACCUCAUGCCAAUCGCACAUCCCCGUGACAGCAACUACGCAUUUGGAUGUCUGUCCUAUCAACUUUCUAUGGUACUUUCUACGCCUACCAUGGUGACCACGGGUAACGGUGAAUCAGGGUUCGAUUCCA